UACGUAGGGUGCAAGCGUUGUCCGGAUUUAUUGGGCGUAAAGAGCUCGUAGGCGGUUUGUCGCGUCGGAUGUGAAAACCCAGGGCUCAACCCUGGGCCUGCAUUCGAUACGGGCAGACUAGAGUAUGGCAGGGGAGACUGGAAUUCCCGGUGUAGCGGUGAAAUGCGCAGAUAUCGGGAAGAACACCCGUGGCGAAGGCGGCACUCUGGGCCGAUACUGACGCUGAGGAGCGAAAGCGUGGGGAGCGAACAGG
rnacentral:rRNA from 1 species